GCUCUCUCUGCACAAAGCACCUACUGCUUCUACCCAUGCUGUGUUCCAGAGGCUUCAGUGGAGCUGAUCAAGAAGGAUAUUCCCAUCAGGAACCUCCCUGAUCUGCUGUUUAUUGCACCUCUCCUGUUGGAUUCCAAGGGAGAAGAAGAGAUCACCAAAGAGAAAAGAGUAUUGCAUGAUGGAGCUGGAAGAUGCUGCUUUCCAGAGAGGAGGUCUGGACAAAAUUCAUCAAGCCCAAUGAGGAGUUAAAGCAACAAA
rnacentral:lncRNA from 12 species